GGUGUUUCCGGUAAGGGGAAGGCGGAAGCGGCAGUUCUGAGAGAGCCGGCGUAGGGAUGGGCAUGAGGGUCGAGGAGCUGCCCGGGUGUGUGGUGGAACUGCCUUCGACCCCGCUGGAGCCAAGUGCUGAUGCUAGUGCUGAGAAGGGAAACAAUGUCAACCUGCCUGUGGUGAUACUGCUUGGGUGGGCUGGCUGCAAAGAUAGGCAUCUGGAGAAAUACAGCGCCAUAUAUCUACGAAAGGGAUGUGUAGUGAUCCGCUAUACGGCUCCCUGGAGACUGGUGUUCUUUUCAGAAUCUUUGGGCAUAAAGUCCCUGCAGAACUUGGCUAAGAAGCUACUGGAGUGCCUCUUUGACUACAAAGUGGAGACAAAGCCGCUGCUUUUUCAUGUCUUCAGCAAUGGAGGUGUCAUGCUCUACCGUUACAUUGUGGAGCUCCUUCACACGCAGCAACCGUUCCAGCAUCUGAGGGUGGUGGGUACUGUGUUUGACAGUGCUCCUGGCAGGAGGAACCUGGUGGGUGGGCUCCGUGCCCUGUCACUUGUUUUAGCACCAUACAGUAUAUAUGUCAAGUACCUUCUUCUGCUGAUGUUUGCGGUCAUGGUGAUGACACUGCGGAUCAUGUUGUAUCCUGUGACCCGUUUUGUACAUCAGAACCACUAUGAUGCCAUGUUGAAGCAACUGUCUAGAUGGCCUGAGCUGUACCUAUACUCCAAGGCUGAUUCCAUUAUCCUAGCAAGUGAUGUGGAGAGCAUGGUAGUGGCCCGGCGGCGGCAACAGGUCUUUGUUCAGGCUGUGGACUUUGUGGACUCUGAUCAUGUCAGCCAUCUGCGGGUGUAUCCCACCUCAUAUGCAACUCAUUGCGUCUCCUUCAUGUACAGUUGCAUUGGGCAUGCUUAGGCUCACCAGGAUGCCAUGACUGCAUAUUCCACCUUCCCUUAAUAGUUUGAUACUGUACACUGUUCAUAAUUGCUCUCAAUACAAUUUUGCUGGUGAAACCAAAGUACUUCUUGCACACUGAAUAUCUGAAAUAGUCACAUUGCUGAACAGUUGGAAGUGGGACUGCAGGAUAAAUGUGGGAACAACCAAACCAGUGUAUUUUGCAAUCCAUUCAUUCUUGGCCCUGUAAGUGAGCUUUACAAAGUGCUCUCUAAAUAAGCUUUGCAAAGUGGGCUUUGUGCUAUCUCCUGUAUCCAUUUAAGCAGAUUUAUAUAUAUUUCCUUAUUUUAUAUACUGUGUCCUGCUUCUGCUUCUUAUAAGGGUCAAGGAGCUACUGGCUCUACCAGUCAUAAAGCUCUGCUUUGUCCAAAGUUUUUCCUAUUCAGCUUUGAUUUCUGAGGUUUUGGUAGACAAGAGCACUUAAGUACAAAGCUUCUUUUGCAGCACCUCCUUCCUCAUUUCUCCUUUUGUCAUUGUCUAUUUUGUGGCUGUGAAACAAAGUUCCUUCCUGAGCUGCUGUGUCCAUCCUGCUAUGGAUCCUCCUUGAUCCAUGACUGUAUCUGGGCUACUUUCUUCCUCACAGACUUCCUUUGUGUCUGUCAACUUUUAAACUGAGGAUAGAAGGAGACUUCUUGUGGAGUCAAAGCUACUUUGCAAAAAGCAGUUUAUCAACAGUCAGCCUGCAAAACUGAACUAAGAGGAAACAUUUCGAAUUCAUAUCCCUUAUGUGGUUGGGCAUUCUGCACACAGUGAUUCCUUGAAAUCCAUAUUCACCUAAAAUAAUGCCCAUAUCUUUGUAUGUUAUGUACUGACAUAAAUCGGAUUCUGUACCAAAAAGUUGGAACUGAAAGGAUGUUGUUCAGAACAAAAUACUCUUUCACUAUCCUGUUUUAAGAAUAGGGGUAGCUAGAGGGAGUUUUGUAGCAAUUAGUCAGUAUUAACUUGUUUAUGUGCCCAUAGCAGGAAGGCUGUAAAAUAGUGAAGGCUAUUGAGUGGAGUAUUAGUCAAGCUGUCAUAACUGAAUUAAUAUGCAUUAAAGGGUAGAUUAAGUCCAUCAUGGUAUCUGUGUGUAUGUGUCUCCCUUUUUCACCUUAGGUGGCUUUUCAGUCUGUGUGUUUGUUACAUCGUUGGAUGUCUUUUACUCUGAAACAGAUCCCUUUGCAUCCAUGAUCCAAGUGAACAGCAUUGGAGUUCAACCAACAAGCCUUGGUUUCAAUCCCUACUCCCACCUUAAUCUUUCAUCAUUGCUGAAAAACAAGUCUCAAUAUUGGAACUUGCUCCCAGCUGGCCACAGACUCCUCCUUAAAAUUGCAACUAUUUUGACAACAGAGAUAAUAUAGUACCCAUGACUACAAGACCACAUCUGACCACCCAUUAGUACAGCAGGAAGACAAUUGUUAUACACAGCUGCUAGAGAAGUUCAUAACUAUAAUCUUUCUACCCAAUUUUUGUGUCUAGCAAUGGGGAUGGGUUCAAAGGUCAACUUGUGAAUUGAUCUAAUUGAUCAGUCAAAUCUUUCAACUAAUUUAUUAGAAAAAUAACUUUGCAGUUUGGUUAUGCACAGUACCUAUGUCAUAAUCUGACAAUAUAAACUACAUUUGGAAAUUCAUGUCAGUUUAUACAAAUAUGAGUGGUAUUAUGCAACUGUGUAAUGCUUGAUUAAUAGCAGUAGGUUGUGUUACCAUUGACACUCUGAACUCAAUCAUUUAAAGAAUGAGCUUUUGAAUAUGAGAAGUGUAUGGAACUCAGUGCUGUACAGCCCAAAUGAAUUAAGAGGCACAAGCAAGACUCUGAAAUCGUAUGGGCAUUUAUAAGGCAACGGGAAAUGUUUGACUGUAUCAGUCCUAACCGCUUUAUCCUGACUAUAGUUUUGGUUACAGAGAUUCAGAAAAAAGCUUGGGACAGGCAACCUAGGGCCCGCCCACUAUUUUGGCCUACAACUCCCAUCAGUCCUAACCAACAUAACCAGAGAUCAGGAAUUAUGGGAGCUAUGGUCCUAAACAACUGGAGGGUCCAAGGUUGCCUACCCAUGGAUUAGCGAGAUGUAGCUGGCCCUUGCCUAAAAGCAUGUUCAUGCAGCACGUCUAAUACUCUUUAGCUGUUCCUCUUUCCUUGCCCUCAGACUGAAUAGUGGCUGUCCUAAUUAAUUUAUUAAGAAUUAAAGUUAUGUACCUUGCGGCACUGGUUAUUCUGAGCGAUAUAGCCCAAAGUAACACAUAAAACACUAUUAUCAUAUAGCUUUCUUCUGUACUAAGAUUAACCCAAUUAACCCAACUUCUUGCAAGAGCUUCUUUAGAGUUUUGACUUGUUUUGGGUUAGAAAAAAGAGUACAAAGUGAGGAGGACUUAAUAGGGGCUUAUAAAAUGAUGGAUGGUGUACAGAAAAUGUAUAGGGAGAAGUUUUUCUCCCUUUAGAAAAUGAAAGACCUGAGAGCUAUCCAGUGAAACUGAUUGACAAUAGAGCUAGGAUGGACAAAGAGGAUACUUCCAUGCAGCGUAUAAUUAAUUAAUGGAAUUCACUGUUUCACAAUGUGGUGAUGGCGUGAAGGUUAGAUGGCUUUAAAAGGCAAUUGGACAAGUUCACAGGGAAUAAGCCUGUCACUGGCUAUUAGUCAUCAUGACUAUGUGGAAUCUGCCAUGUGCAGAAGCACUUAAUACUAAUCUCUGAGCUCUGUAGCUUUCACGUCCUGUUUGUGGACCUCCCAGAGGCAUCUGGUUGGGCCCCUGGGAAACACGCUGCUGGACUAGGCAGGCUUCCUUCUGAUCUAAAAAGGUUUUUGCAUUUGAUGAAGGCUACUCCUGACUACUUUUUACUAGACAUGGCACAGAAAUGAGUUCAUGUGUUGUUUCAUAUCUACUAGCCAUAGAACAUUUGUCUUGGGGAGAAAGAAUACAAGUGGGAGAUCAAAGGCACCAAAGAAGACCAGGCUGGUGAUACUGAGAGGGUCAUUAGUUAGGAAUAGAUUUGUUAUUCCCAAGAAAAUGGGCCAAUUCUAUUAUGUGGAGUCAACCCAAAGAGAGCUACGAAAUGUAAAAGUGAUAUGUUGCUGGGCAGAAGAUCAAAGGCCAUCAGAAAGCUUGGAAUGUUCAACCUAAAUUGGGAAUAGUAUAGUGAUAAGAGUCUUAAGGGACUGUGACAGAGCUAGAGUCCAUCUCUUUGCUGUCUGAACACCUUAGUUGCCUCUGACCUCUCACUUUGAUUAACGAGCUGACAAUAAGGUAUUGAUAAGGAAUUAACCUUGAGCCCUUCUUGCUUCAGUGUCAAUACCACAGGAGCCAAAUACACGCCUUCAAUUGGAAAUCUGUGUAUGUGCACAGAGAUCCUGAGAAGCUAUUGACAUGUAAAAACAGAGAGCCAAGGUCUGGGGGCAAGGAAGCAGGGCAUGAAUUCCAGCUUGGUGUGAUGCGUGUGCAGAUGAAGUCCUGCAUGCCCAGGCUACAGCUCUUCAGAGAGAGAUUCUAGUGCAAACUCAGGGCUCCUGAUGUGCAAAUAACUAGGAAUGAAAGUGUUGGAAUGUUGAAAUAAGAUGUUAUAGUGAAAUAUUUGCAAACCUGCUUAUACUGGGCAUGUUUGCGUAAUUGUUCAUGGCUUCAUAAACCAUGGUUUAUGAAAAUGUGGCAACACAAUUGAGAUACACCCUUCCCUUUGUGCAGCUGUUUUGGCAAGAUCCUGGCUUGCAUUAAGUAGAAGACCCUUAUCCGACUAAAGAUCCUAGCUUAUUAUCCUGAUUUAUCAACCAUUGUUAAGUAGAAUCCCCUUGGCUGGUACACUGGGGAACUUUCCUUUCAUACAAGCCAGGAUCUUCACUCCAAAAUUUGUUCACAAUGAAAGAGAUAAAAUUUCCACAAAUUUUGAAGCUAUGGGGGGAAAACUUUGCUUGCUAUUGCAAUUUUGAGGGGGCAAUGGAAAAACCAGCAAAGGUGCUCUUUAUGGAUCUAAAUCAACUCAAUCUAGAUGCCUGUAUCCCCUGAGUUGAGGAUUAUGGGUCUCUUAUGUAGUGUGAAAGAGUUGGAGGCAAAGGUCACCUCCUGCAAAACAUUUAGCUCAUUGUGGCUGCAUGUUACACCUGGGAGUACGAGGAAAGGACACUGAGGCACAGCCACGAUACCAUGUAUCUUGUCAAUGCCCUUCUCCUCCUUGCCUCCUAAAACACCAGCUCCUGGGACCUUGGAGACAUAGCUGGCACAGUUCUGUCUGCUAGUUGUGAAGCAGGGAUGGUGUCUCUGAGCACAAACACCCAGCCACAAGAGCUGAGCAAUUUUCUGACUUGGUCUCCAAAAAAUCCUAUGGCCAUCUAGAUGCUGUCCAGUGGCCAUAGGACUGCACUGUUUGUUGCUGUAGGCCAGCCCUCCUCAACAUGGUGCCCUCCAGACGUUUUGGACGUCAGCGUCCAUCAGUCUCCAGAGGCAUGGCCAACAUCAGGAAUGCUGGGUCUUGUAGUGCAAAACAUCUAGAGGACACCAAGUUGGGAAGGCUGUUUUAGGAACAUAAAACAUUAUAUCCCUAAAGUUAUAUAAUGUGUAGCUUGGUUUGAUCAUAAAAAUGUCAUUAUAUUAGCAUUUUAAAGUAAACUAAAAAUAAUUUGAAAUUUUUGUUUGAAUGAGCUAUAAGUUAAGUUUAACAUUCCAAAUGUAUUUUAUGAGCAAACUAAGUUAUAGAUAACACAUUUUAGGGUCCUGUUUUAUGUCUGUCCAGAAGGAACUUCCAAAACACCUGAAUCAUUCUAGAAACCAAAAGAAUCAAGAAGAACUGGGGACAAAGGAAGACUAAUUGCACUGCAUCUGUUCUGUUUGUGACAAGUUCAGAGAACUUCCUAACUCUGUUCCUGGGUUUUCUAGUAGGAAUUAAUGGUUUUGUAUAUUUUCUUCUAUAUUAUGAUAUAGUGACUCAAAUUGAACAUGAUCUGAAACUUCACUAAAAACUCAAUAAAAGAAACAUUAACUCAGUAAUUUUAAUAAGGAACAGAAGAAAUAACUAUGCUGGUAACCCUAUAGUGAGGAUUAAAGAAAUAUUUCCCACCAUGGCUUCAUAAGUUUCAGACAUUUUAAAACUCUAGUCUUUCUAUGAGUGUUAUUUUAUAGCUUUUAGAAAUCAUUAGAUGGGAGUAAAUGCUGACUAACAACAUAUAAACACUUUGUCUUAACUUCUGAAAGAAAAUAUUUCAUAAUAUGGAACUGUUCAAAUUUUCAGGGGAAAAAAACUCCAAAUAAGCCUUAGGGGGGAAAAGGGAUUGGCUUUCCUGCCUCCCAGGCCUUCACAUCUUUACAGUGAGGUAAGGAGAGGUAUAUUCUCAUACCAUGCAUGUCCCAUUAGUUUGCAAAGCUGUAAAUAAACAUGGUCAUUAUUUUUCAAA